CGUGUGCACACCCUGCUGGGGGCCGUGUGCAUUGUUGUUUACUCCUGCUGUUUACCUCAGACAUUCUUCUGCACUCACUCAGGGAAGGGGUAGGGGGUUAACAGACAACACGCCAACAGUUUAAGGAACCAAAUAACAUUAACAGGUUGUCCAGAUUCCUGUCGUGCUGCCUCCAGACACCGCCAGCUGCCCCUGCCAGAGCUGUGCAGAGCCCGGCGGGUCCUGAUGUCUUUGACAGCUCCUAUCGGCUGGUUUCCUGAGGGUUCCUGGGCCGUGAGGAGCCACCUGGCUGCAUGUGCCUGCUACCGCCAGAGACCCGCCUGUCUCCAUGCUGAGCUCACAGAAAGGAGGGCUCUUUGAGGAAAGGACGGGAGCAGAAGGAAGUGGCUGCCUAUUGUCAAAAGUUUGCAAGUCAGAUGUCACCCGGAUAACACUGCUCUUGGGCAAGGAGGAUAGAGCACAGCACCUCCUGUGUGUCUGGGGCAAGCUGUGGGGAGUUAAUAGAGCAGGCAUCUCACCCCGCUGGCUGGGGCGUGUUCCGACAUAGGGCAGCAGUAUUCCCUCCCGCCGUAGCAGAUAACACUGGUGAGGGGAAGCAGCCUGCAGCAGAGAGGGAGUGCUGAGUAGACAGGAGGAUGUGUGCCCAUGCUGAUGAGAAGUGGACCAGGCUAGGAAUAUGCCACCCUGGCGGCUGUCUGUCCAUUCUGGUCCGGACACUGCACAUGGCUACAGCUGCUCUGCACUCCUGUCAGCCUGUGGGAAGCAUGUUCGGCACAGCGGAAGUUUGCAGCAUGUGUCGAGGCGUUGUUCAGACCCCAGGGCCGUAGUCCGGACACUUUGCUCUGGUUUCUUUGCAGAGGAUUAGUGGUGUGUUUUAAUGAUUGUGUUUGUGUCUGACCUCUGAAGGUGACAUGACCUCACCUGAAUUUAUGGCACCACAUGAUUCUUCUGUUUGCUACCAACACUCAAUUAAAUUUC